rnacentral:rRNA from 1 species
UACGUAGGGGGCAAGCGUUGUCCGGAUUUUAUUGGGCGUAAAGAGCGUGUAGGCGGCCAGGUAGGUCAGCUGUGAAAACUCGAGGCUCAACCUCGAGACGUCGGUUGAAACCAUCUGGCUAGAGUCCGGAAGAGGAGAGUGGAAUUCCUGGUGUAGCGGUGAAAUGCGCAGAUAUCAGGAAGAACACCGGUGGCGAAGGCGGAUCUCUGGGCCGAUACUGACGCUGAGGAGCGAAAGCGUGGGGAGCGAACGG